CCUACGGGAGGCAGCAGUGGGGAAUAUUGCACAAUGGGGGAAACCCUGAUGCAGCGACGCCGCGUGAGUGAAGAAGUAAUUCGUUACGGAAAGCUCUAUCAGCAGGGAAGAAAAUGACGGUCCCUGAGUACGAAGCCCCGGCUAACUACGGGCCAGCAGCCGCGGUAAUACGUAGGGGGCAAGCGUUAUCCGGAUUUACUGGGAGUAACGGGAGCGUAGACGGUGCGCCAAGUCUCGAGGGAAAUGCCGCAGCUUAACUGCGGAACUGGUUUGGAAACUGGCGAACUAGAGUGCGGGAGGGUUAAGCGGAAUUCCUAGUGUAGCGGUGAAAUGCGUAGAUAUUAGGAGGAACACCGGUGGCGAAGGCGGCUUACUGGACCGUAACUGACGUUGAGGCUCGAAAGCGUGGGGAGCAAACAGGAUUAGAUACCCUUGUAGUC
rnacentral:rRNA from 1 species